UGCCCGGCCCCCACAGCGUCCAGACGGCCCCCAGAGCAACCUGCCCCGUGCCGGCUGAGUUAAACUAAACCCCCAGCGUCCUCUAUGGUUUCGUGCCCCGGAAGUUGGGCCUCCACAUCGGGGGACCUGGGGGCCUGGUCGGAAGCUACUUCUGGAAGGAUCCGGGCACAGGGGAAGGAACGUCCUCCCACCCCAGGCGGGCCUGUGGGGCUCUAGGGCAGGAGGCAGAGCGGCCUUGGGUUUCAUAGUAGGUAACGGAUGAAACCGGAGACGCCGAGGCUCACUGGAGACAACGCAGCAUCAAGAGUUCACAGUGGGAAACAGACACCUGAUCUCCCGUCGCGUCGCGGGCAGCGGCUCCCGUGGCCUGAGGGCCACCUGCCUGGGCCCAGAGCAGCGCCCGGCCCCCCUCUUGGUCUGAGUGCGCCUGCAGGUGAGCGAUGCCGAGGCCGGCCCUUCCUGGAGCCGAGACGCCAUGUCACUAUCUGCUGUUGUUCGGAUGGGCCGAGGGGCGGGGGCUGGCUGGGGGCUCACCCAUGGGGGGUUUGAUGAAGGCCCGUCCUGCACCCGUCAGCGCGUCUGCCCACGGCUGCCUGAGAGGCCAGGGGAUUCGGAGGGAGGGGAAGGGCCACCGUCUUCAAAUUCCUGUGCAGCUCUCAACAGACAUCUCUGCACCCACAACAAACACCCCUCGGAAGGGGCUCACCUGUCGGGGAAACGCUAAUUGAACCCACCGUGAGCUGGUGCUGCAAACCCACGAGGGCAGGUCCCACGUGGGGCCAGGAGGCGGAGGCUGGAACCCCCAUCCCUGCCCGGCAGGAUGGGAAAAGCAGCCUCUGUUCCCCUAAAGAGCAAACACUGAGCCACCGUACGACCCAGUCACGGGAGGCGUGUGGUUCCACGUGUGUGACACGUCCAGAACGGCUUCGUCCACGGACGGGAAGGGGGCUCGCGGGCACCGGAGCCUUGGGGGGGGGCGUGACAGCUGAUGGGGACGGGGCUUCUUGUCAUUCCCCAGGCAUUUUGUCCAUAUUUUGUCUUAAAAUCUAUGUACAUCCAGUGCUCGUUAUGAGAUUAGACAGCCGCAGAGAGGACAACGGGAGAGCAGCUGAAACGGCCCCGGCCGGCAAGACCCGCCUUUGGCAUCAGAGGUCUUCCAGGCCGAAUGGGCCUGUAUGCGCUCGUCCUGUCUGGAAGACGAGGGCACCUGCUCACCGGUAUACCGUGUGCAUACCGCACACACGGAACCGGGGUCCCCCAGCAUCCCUCAAGCCGUGGCUAAAAAUUACCAGGUGUCCCAGAAGACCCCUGACCGUUGGGCUUCCUGGACACGUCUCUCUUCCCCUGGGUUUUAGAACGAGCCCUGGAGCCGUUCGUAUCCAUUUCGCCCUGAUCCGGCCCCAGGCUCAACCAGAAAGCAUUUAAACACGGAGUUGCGCAGAGGAGGAGACGACAUCCGGCCGUCAGCCCGGAGGUGACCACGGCUGGAGUUUCGAGUCUUAUCACCUGGAGCGGGGUUUUAAACCUGCUCUUUGUAGCUUUACUCUGCUUCCUCGUAAGAGGGCCCUCCGUGCCCCCUUAGGCCCAUUUGGUGUCCUGAAACUUCCUGGAGGAUCUUAAAAUUCCCUCUGAAACAUCAUUUUUUAAAGGAAAUGGUGGCAAAAUACACAUACUGUGGAAUGUGUCCCUUUAACAGUUCCGCAAGCACACAGCUCAGGGGCACCAAGCACACGUGCACUGUCCCACAGCCUUCCCCGCCGUCUGUCUCCAGAACCUUCCGUCUCCCCACACGGAGGCUCUGAAAACACCAUCUUUAACCUGGUUUCUGACAGCCGCACCUCUUCCUUCUGGUUCACCUGCCACGUGGGAGCCCAGGGCCGUGGCUGCCACAUGCCCUCGUCUCGCUGGAGGCGCACCUCCUGCCCGAGCCCCUCACACUCGCCACCUGACCUGGCUUCUCUGCGUGCGCUCACGACUUGCUGGGGGCCUCAGGCAGUGGCCAGCCCUGAACCUGGGCGCCGGUCAGUGAACACACGUUUCUGGCUGGCCCCAGCCCCACAUUCCACAGGGGCCAUCCCCAGCACAGACGGCCUGGGCCCUGCCACCUGUCUGGUCCUUGGCCCCUCCCUCCAGCCAUCCCGACAGCCAAGAGCCUUCCUAUCUGAACAGCAAAGCUCAGCCAACAAGGAGAAAAACCCAGAAGGACUGAGGUGACAGUCUUUCUUUCCCUAAAACCCAACGUCCUUAUUUUUUUAAAGAAAGCUAAAUUUUGCCUCCCACCCCAAGCUUCUGUGUCCAGCCAACAGGGUUCAAAUUCCCAGACGUUCUCCUGGCAGAAAAUUCUAGACUCAGGUGGGCAGGUGCAGGCCCCGUCAUUCAGCUUCUGUCCCCUCCUGUUUUCUCGGCGACUUCCUUUUUGCUGAAGAUAAAAUAGGUCCCAACAAUACAAACGAACAGCCUGAGACGUUCGUGUUUAUCUCCAAAGCACAGCUUCUGGCCUCCGGAAUGUUCUUGUGUCAUUUCCAGAUAUUGUGUGGGUUCCGGAAGAGCCCAUGGACAGAGCUGGGACGCAACCAGACCAAGGCUCCAGAGACAAGAUUUUUAAAAUGCCCGUGUUUCUCCAACACCCUGCAGAGUUCAUGGUUAUUUCUUCCUGUGACACUUGUCUCUGGAACCUUCCAUGGGGGUUUGUUUACACCCCAGACGGUGCGGAGUUCAAACCGCGAGGACCUCCCGCCCAGACCCCCGAACUCCCCUGACGAGGACGCCCCCUUGCUCACGGUGCUCAGCCUUGCCCGCGAUCAUUUCUAAUCAAGGACUCGCAGCGGGAAUGGAAGGGGGCCAGAACGAGGGUUUGGGCCAUUUUGAUUGCUUUGUCGUUAAUAAUUUUCUUUGUUCCUGGGCAUGGAGCACAGAGAGGCUGGAGGGAGCCUGGGUGGGCCCUGGAGUCCCCACAGGAGGGAAACCGGCCCACAUGCCUGGCAUUCCUCCUCUCCUUCCCACAUUGUUUGUUUGUUUGUUUUAAAUUAGAGGGCCAGGAAUUCCUUUUCCUUCCCGAUUCUGCUGGGACUUUGUGACAGUCUUAGAACCAGCGCCUGGCCAGGGCACAGAACAUUCCAGCACCCUCCAGGCUACACCCCCACCCCCAGACACCCACACAGAGGCUUAUCUUUCCUUGGGGUGCGUGCAGCUAGCCACAAGCCCCCAGGCCUGCAAGUGCACCCUGGCCACGCGGGACCCACGCCCCACCAGCCCUGCUGUGUAUAGUGGCUACAGCUUGCAGGCCAGGCUGAGCUCUGGCGGACAUUGGGGCCUGGGUCCAGGGGAGGGGACACCGCGUGGAUGCCUGUGCCCGCAUCCAGCCUCCCUGGCAAGGAAACUGAGGCAGGUGCUGGACUCACUCCCUGAGCGUCUCGCACACACGCCAGUUGUGUCUUUCCUCAAUGUCCACUUUGUUCAGUCGUAAAGCAAGGUUAACAUCAUCGUUUUUUCUUACAGACUUUAUUUAUUUGACAGAGAGGGACAGAGCACAGGCAGGGGAGCAGCAGAGGGAGAAGCAGGCCCCGCUGAGCAGGGAGCCGGACGCGGGGCUGGAACCCAGGACCCUGGAUCAUGACCCGAGGGGAAGCAGACGCAUCACAGGCUGAGCCCCCCAGGUGCCCCAGGUUCACCCAGGCGCCCCGAGGUCAACGUCAUGGUGAAGCAGCUUCAGGAUUCCAAACUCAGGGACAUUUUGUGGCGCAUUUCACACAGGGCACAGCACCAGACAAAGUCGCACAACGAACAGGAUAGCACAGGGGAGGAAGGGGGCGAACCAGACACGAAGUCCUUCCACCAGUGCGCGGGCGAGGGCGGCCGGGUCGGGCCGGGUCAGCUGUGUCUGCUCUGCUCCGAGGCUGGUGGGCAGAGGCUUCUCGGAUGCGGUCGGACGGGGACGGGGAGGGGUCAGCAUGGAGAGUCUGAGAGUGUGUGGCAAAGCCUCCCCUUUUGAAGGGAUUGGAUCAGUCUUGGGCCUUUGCCAGCCUGGCUGGUUAUCAGUCUGUGUGUUCUCGGCCGCGGUGCCCUCGGCUGCUGGCAUCCCUGCCUGGCAUGAGUGACCCCGUCGUGCCCUCUACACGCCGUCCUGAGGUCCCCGGCGGGUGCCACCGAGCCCAGUAGCCUCCAACGCCUGUCACUGAGCGUCCCAGGGCCCAGCACAGGAGUUCAGAUUUCAGGGGCCAGGUCCUCGGGGAACCCUUGACCUCGGGGUGCUGCUGUUGGACUGCGCAGGUGCGCAAGCCCCGGCCGUGUGACCCUGACCUCCUCCGGGCAGGUAACACCGUCAGGGCUCCACGCAAGCCCGCAAAACUCAGUCAGGCUUGUUGGGAUGAGCUUGUUCUUGGGAAACUGGAGAAUGGGGCCUCUGUCCGCGCCUGUGGCCCCUCUGUCAGCCCGGCCCAGAGCUGCACACCGGCGGUCCCAGCGAGUGACCAUCAGCAUGGCCCAAUCGAGGAGGAAGGGUGCUCCGGGCAGGCUUCCUGUGUUCUCCUAAGUUGGGGGGAAGUUCGCAUAAUGUAGAAUUAACCAUUUUAAGUGAACAGUCCAGUCGCAUGCGGUACCUUGACUGUAUCGUGCAACCCACGCCUCUAUCUAGCUCCGAAACGUUCCUUCUCCCCAAAAGCAACCCCGCCCGCAUUAGCCAUCACUCCCUACCUCCCCCAGACCCCCCCGCCCCAUGAGCCCCCUCCCUGUCCGUGGAGGAGCCUGUUCUGGACGUGUCACACACGUGGACUCACGCCGCGGGGCCUUCUGCGUCUGGUCUCCCUGAGCGUCGGGGGCUGGGGUCCGUCCUUGCUCCUGUCCGCGGUCGAGGGUCACUCCUGCGUGUGGGUGGACACGCGUGUGUGUCGUCCAGCGUUGGAUGGGCCCUGGGGUGUCUGCGCCCCUGUGGCUGCCGUGAACGGUCACACGCUAGUGUUGGCACACGCGUCUCCACCAGUGUCCACCAGGGACAGGGGCGACUCUCCCUGCCUGAGCUGACGGAGGAGCACCUGGCUCACCGUCUCACUGUCCUUCCCACCAGUGACCAGCUGCCCCUGCCGCGGAUGCCGUGGAUGACCCUGGCCGUGGGCCUCUGGCUGGGGCAGAGUCGGGGCGACCCUGCACGUGUUAGACCACGUGCUGUACCUUCAUUACUUGAGAGCCUGGUGCCCGGGAGGGAAAUAGGGAAAGUUGGACAAGUUGGGGCAGCCCCACGGCUUCAUUGCAGCUGGGGAAACUGAGGCUGCGGGUCAGAGUCAGCCACUUGCUCCUCAGAGGUGGCAGGAUUCCAAGCAACAGAUGCGCCACCCUGACUUCCAGCCGCGUUCAGUCCAGGCACAGCGGGAGCAGGGGGCCGCGGGACCUGCCCUGGUGGCAUGGAUUCAGAAUUCAAUGAGUGGCCGGAGCUCUGAACAGGUGAGUGACGCCCACGCACAAACCCACACAUGUUUAUAUCAGCUUCGUUCGUCUCCGGGAGCAAGCGAGAUGCCCUUCAGCGGGUGAGCACUGGACACGAGCCACGGACCCAGGCAGACACGUCCCUAAGUGAGAGUGGCCGGGCGGAGAAGGCCACACACCCCGUGGUUCCAAGUCUAGGACGUUCUGGAAAAGGCAGAACGGCGGAGGCGGUAAAAAGGCCUGCGGUGGCCGGGGUGGGGGGCGCUGAUGGGGCCGAGCACGGAGGGUCGGUAGGGCCGGAACGACUCGGUGCCACGCUGUGAUGGCGGAUCGGUGUCCGUGACAUUCGUCCAAACCCACAGGGCGUGCGGCACCGACAGCCCCGGUGUCACCUGCGGCCUGUCGGUAAUAAUGUCCCAGUGUCGGUGUGUCAGCUGUCACGAACGUACCAGCCAUUUAAAAAGAAGAAGAAAAAGGAAAUCCGAUGAUCUGUGGCACCGUGGGCGGCCAUGGAGGGCGUCAUGCUCCGAGAGCUGAGUCCGACGGAGACAGUCCAAGACCCCACUUGCCCUUCGGCCUACGAGGACCAGGGACGAGAGGGUGGUCUCCCGAGACAUUCCAUCGGAGGGUGCAAGCCCUCAGCCCCAAGGUGCAUGGCUUCCGGGGACUCUGCACCUGACCUUCGCGGGGUGCUCUCGCGGCGCCCAAGGUACCCACACGACGUGUGGUUCACUAGCUUGACCGUGCUGACCCGUCCCCACGAUGCGCAAAGGUCAGACGUGGUAGUUUGCACCUUGAACACAUCGGCUCUUGCCUGUCGGUCAUACCUCAACAACGCUGGGGGACCGCGUGGAACCAAACGCGUUUGCUCCUGGAGAGGAGGAUAGAGGGCCUUGUGUGAAAUGCAUAAUCCCUCUAGUCCCAUCCACCUGGAUGUAAGUGGUGGGUAUCCAUCCUUCCUGGUGGCUGAGGAAUAUUGCAUUGUAUAUAUGGACCACAUCAUCUUUAUCCAUUCCUGUCGGCGGACAUCUCGGCUCCUUCCACCGUGUGGCUACUGUGGACAUCGCUGCUGUGAACAUGGGGUGCACGUGCCCCUUCGGGUCACUGCAUCUGUAUCUUUGGGGUAAACCCCCAGUAGUGCAGUUGCUGGGUCAUAGGGUCGCUCUGCUGCUAACGUCCUGAGGACCCUCCACGCCGUUCUCCGGAGCGGCUGCGCCAGCUCGUGUUCCCGCCAACUGGGUAGGAGGUCCCCCUUUCUGCACAUCCUCACCCACAUCCGUCGUUUCCUGACUUGCUGAUUUUGGCCGUUCUGACUGGUGUGAGGUGGGACCUCAGUGUGGUCUUGAUUGUGUUUCCCUGAGCUGAGUGAUGUGGAGCAUUUCUUCAUGUGUCAAACAGACAUUUUUUAUCAUACCCUUCUAUGUUGUAUAAAUUAAUUUGUAUAAAAACUAGUAAAGAUAUUAA